CAGACAGCCAGGAGUAUCAACGUUGUAACAUAUACGAGCAUAGUAAAUAAAGAAAAAUAGCAGUUACAGGAAACAGUUGAAGUAUCAAAAAUCAAAGCUCAACUGAGUGAGAAAAAACAGAUUUAGACUCAAGACCUGAUACAAUUCAAGAACCUGAAUAGAAUGAAAAUAUUAAAACAACAAUCAAAGAACUCGAGGCUGUGAUAUUAUUUGAGAAAUGGCCUGCACGGAAAAUUUAUGUUGGAGCCAAUUUUAACUCAGACAUGCGAGGUAUGUUAAUGGAAUCUCUAAAAUCUAAGGUGGACUGUUUUGCUU
rnacentral:lncRNA from 1 species